rnacentral:rRNA from 1 species
CAGCACCUCAAGUGGUCAGGAUGAUUAUUGGGCCUAAAGCAUCCGUAGCCGGCGCUGUAAGUUUUCGGUUAAAUCUGUACGCUCAACGUACAGGCUGCCGGGAAUACUGCAGCGCUAGGGAGUGGGAGAGGUAGACGGUACUCGGUAGGAAGGGGUAAAAUCCUUUGAUCUAUUGAUGACCACCUGUGGCGAAGGCGGUCUACCAGAACACGUCCGACGGUGAGGGAUGAAAGCUGGGGGAGCAAACCGGAUUAGAGACCCGAGUAGUC